AGCAGGAGGAGGAGCAGGAGCAGGGUUUCCUGGGAAGCAACGAAACAGCAGGGGCGUGCGAGGCGACCCGCGCUCCAUCAUCGAGUAUCGAGACCUGGACGCCCCCGACGACCUGGACUUCUUCUGAGCGCGACCACGUGAUGGACCACUCCAUGUUUUUAAACCUUUUUAUUCCUCCAGGUCCAUCGUCCCUCCAUCAUUGUUUUAGUGUGUGAGUGUGUGUGAGAGUGUGUGUGAGUGUGUGUGAGUGUGUGUAGGACCAACAUCACUGUCAUUAGUGAAAAUGAUCUGAUUCCACUUUCCAAUAAAGAUGCAGGAACACUGACAUGACUCCUGUGUUGCUAUGGUUA